rnacentral:lncRNA from 1 species
CAAAACUCUUUCUACUGCUCAAUCAUCUUCCUGGGAAAAAAUAUCAGAUGGCAGGAUCGAGAGGGAGCAGUGUUGCCUGGACAGUGUGGGAACAGGACAAUAAGAGAGUGCAGGCCUCAGAAAGAUCAAAGUAAAUCAGCCAUGCCUAGCAUAUACUGAAACCAUAUCUGCAAGUUCUGAAGAUCAUGGAACACACAGAAAGUUUGUUGAAUUUAUAUCAAGAUGAAUGAAAAUAAGCGUGGAAAAGAAAAUAAGAGGUGAUUAUUCUGUUGUUUUCCAAGCUGGGCAAACCACAUGUGUAGCAAGGUUGGCAUUUAUCCUGAAUCACUAUGUUUCAAGGACAACAGACACCCAGGAGUAUGGUCAGAAGUAGGUACGUGGAUCUCAAAACAAUGUUAUAAGAAAGCUUGAAGGAAUGGAGAACAUUUAGCCCAGGAGAGCAUCCAUGGGACAUGACUAUUAUUUUCAGAAAAUGGAAGGCUCUUGAUGUAGGGCAGGGAAUCACAAUUGUUUUGUAUGGCCUCAAGGAGCACUGGAGCCAUGCAUGUGAAUUGCAUUUUAGCUUAGAAUUUAAACUUCAGAAAACAUUCUAAUAA